GUCUGCAGCCAUACCACCCUGAACCCGCCCGCUCUCAUCUGAGGCUAAGCAGGGUGGGGCCUGGUUAGUACUUGGAUGGGAGAAAAUCCAAAACACUAGGAGACUGAACAAC
rnacentral:rRNA from 1 species